AUCAAGUUCAGCAUCAUAGCCAAUGAGGUUUAUCUGAGGCACAAUUAUUGCUAAUUGAAAACUUUUCCCAAUACUCUGUCAUGAUGUCUUGAAAUAUACACGGCACUGGCAAUUUUUGGCAAUAAAUAGCAAACAGUAUGUUGACUUUUA